rnacentral:rRNA from 1 species
GAUGAACGCUGGCGGCGUGCCUAACACAUGCAAGUCGAGCGAACGGACGAGAAGCUUGCUUCUUUGAUGUUAGCGGCGGACGGGUGAGUAACACGUGUAUAACCUACCUAUAAGACUGGGAUAACCUCGGGAAACCGGAGCUAAUACCGGAUAAUAUUUUGAUCCGCAUGGUUCAAAAGUGAAAGACGGUCUUGCUGUCACUUAUAGAUGGAUCCGCGCUGCAUUAGCUAGUUGGUAAGGUAACGGCUUAUCAAGGCAACGAUGCAUAGCCGAACUGAGAGGGUGAUCGGCGACACGAGAGCUGAGCCGCCGACCUGAGGACUGCGGGAGGCAGCAGUCGGGAAUCGUCCGCAGUGGGCGGGAGCCUGACGGAGCGACGGCGCGUGAGUGAUGACAGUCUUCGGAGCGUAAAGCUCUGUUAUUAGGGGAGAACAGAUGUGUAAGUUGCUGUACACAGCUUGACGGUAACGAGUCAGGAAGCCACGGCUAACUACGUG